AUUGAACGCUGGCGGCAUGCUUUACACAUGCAAGUCGAACGGUAACAGGCCUUCGGGUGCUGACGAGUGGCGAACGGGUGAGUAAUGCAUCGGAACGUACCCAGAGGUGGGGGAUAACGCAGCGAAAGCUGUGCUAAUACCGCAUGUGAUCUGAGGAUGAAAGCGGGGGACCGAGCAGCAAUGUUUGGCCUCGCGCCUUUGGAGCGGCCGAUGUCGGAUUAGCUAGUUGGUGGGGUAAGGGCCUACCAAGGCGGCGAUCCGUAGCUGGUCUGAGAGGACGACCAGCCACACUGGGACUGAGACACGGCCCAGACUCCUACGGGAGGCAGCAGUGGGGAAUUUUGGACAAUGGGCGCAAGCCUGAUCCAGCAAUGCCGCGUGCGGGAAGAAGGCCUUCGGGUUGUAAACCGCUUUUGGCAGGAACGAAACGGUGUCCGCUAAUACCGGGCGCUAAUGACGGUACCUGCAGAAUAAGCACCGGCUAACUACGUG
rnacentral:rRNA from 1 species